UACGUAGGGGGCAAGCGUUGUCCGGAUUUAUUGGGCGUAAAGAGCGUGUAGGCGGCUUUACAGGUCCGUUGUGAAAACUCGAGGCUCAACCUCGAGACGCCGGUGGAAACCGUAAAGCUAGAGUCCGGAAGAGGAGAGUGGAAUUCCUGGUGUAGCGGUGAAAUGCGCAGAUAUCAGGAAGAACACCCGUGGCGAAGGCGGCUCUCUGGGACGGUACUGACGCUGAGACGCGAAAAGCGUGGGGAGCGAACAGGG
rnacentral:rRNA from 1 species